rnacentral:rRNA from 1 species
UACGUAGGUGGCUAGCGUUGUCCGGAUUUACUGGGCGUAAAGAGCGCGCAGGCGGUCGUUCAAGUCGAGUGUGAAAGCCCCCGGCUCAACUGGGGAGGGUCACUCGAUACUGAUCGACUCGAAGGCAGGAGAGGGAAGCGGAAUUCCCGGUGUAGUGGUGAAAUGCGUAGAUAUCGGGAGGAACACCAGUGGCGAAGGCGGCUUUCUGGCCUGCUCUUGACGCUGAGGCGCGAAAGCUGGGGUAGCAAACGGG